CGGGAUAGCUCAGCUGGUAGAGCAGGGACUG
rnacentral:tRNA from 1 species